rnacentral:rRNA from 1 species
CAGCGCCGCGGUAAUACGUAGGUCCCGAGCGUUGUCCGGAUUUAUUGGGCGUAAAGCGAGCGCAGGCGGUUAGAUAAGUCUGAAGUUAAAGGCUGUGGCUUAACCAUAGUACGCUUUGGAAACUGUUUAACUUGAGUGCAAGAGGGGAGAGUGGAAUUCCAUGUGUAGCGGUGAAAUGCGUAGAUAUAUGGAGGAACACCGGUGGCGAAAGCGGCUCUCUGGCUUGUAACUGACGCUGAGGCUCGAAAGCGUGGGGAGCAAACAGGAUUAGAUACCCCAGUAGUCCCUGUCUCUUAUACAC